AUCCAGCUGACGAGUACAAAACAGGACGAACCGCGCAUCCUGGAU
rnacentral:hammerhead_ribozyme from 1 species